UACGAGAGGCGCAAACGUUAUUCGGAAUUACUGGGCUUAAAGAGUUCGUAGGCGGCGCAGAAAGUAUGGUGUGAAAGCCCUUGGCUUAACCGAGGAAUUGCGCUCUAAACUACUGUGCUUGAGGGACCUAGAGGUGAGCGGAACUGAUGGUGGAGCGGUGAAAUGCGUUGAUAUCAGCAGGAACACCGGAGGCGAAGGCGGCUCACUGGGGGUCUUCUGACGCUGAGGAACGAAAGCCAGGGGAGCGAACGGG
rnacentral:rRNA from 1 species